rnacentral:misc_RNA from 1 species
CUCAUCGCAAGAUUUGCCUAGCCAUCAUAUGUCUAUUAGCAUGCGUGGCACAAUUCCCCUCAUGAGUUUCAAAAAGAAUCCUUUUGGCCUCAUUUGCAUUCACACAUCUUAACAAUUCACCAUUGAAGCUUCUUUUGUAUAGUAUUUCACCACUGGGGAAAUACCCUAAGGCUAAUCUUUUGAUCGUCAUUCUUUCAUUAUUAUUUGCCCCUAGUGGAUAUUCCCUUGUUUUGGUGUAUUGGCAAAUGUCAUGAUACCAGGGUUUCCCAUCUAUCUCUUCUUCAAUCACAAGGCAGUAUGAUGGAUCAUCUGUUGCUUUGAUCAAUAAUAACUGCACCUAUUGCCCUUCCUUUAUUCGAGUCAUAACUAAUAUUGUGGCUAAAACAUCUACGAAUUGAUUCUUGUCAUGACCCAAAUGAGUAAAAGAGACCUCGUCGAAUUUCUUGAUCAGCUCAAAGAGAUAUUUUUGGUAUGGAAUUAGCUUAGGAUCUUUAGUCUGUCAUUCCCCUUUCACUUGGUAGAUUAUCAAGGCCAAAUCUCCAUACAAUUCUAAUUUCUUUACUUUCAUCUAGCAACUUGCAAGCCACUCACACAGGCUUCAUAAUCAGCGACAUUGUUAGUGCACUCAAAUCUCAACUUAACUGCUUUUGGGAAGUGUUUCCCAUCUGAGGAUAUAAGAACUGCCCCAAUGCCAUUGCUAGAGAGGUUAACUGCUCCAUCGAAAUACAUUUGCAAUACAUCAUCUUGCUCCUCUAUUUCUUCUUCAAUUGCAUUGAUAUGUUCAUCCGGGAAUUCAAAAUCCAAAGCCUCAUAAUCAUUGAUCGGAUUUUCUACUAGGAGAUCUGCUAUCACACUUCCUUUUUACCAUAAAGCAACCAAAAGUGACCAGCUCUCUUGCCAAUCCAUCAUAUCCAUGGUCAAAUAUUUUAGUUCUUUAAUUCUUGUUUCUUUUUCUUUUUUUUUGGAACACUUCACUUCAAAUUGCCACCUCCUAUGUAUUAUCAUAGCUUAAACUCUACCAACUUCUACUACAACACUUCAAAUUCCCACACCCAUUUAGACAAAACUAUUACCACUAAUUCCUAUGGUAGAAGAAUUCUACUUCUCUCAAAUUACUUUUCUCUACUUCAAUCUCCAUUCUUUUCUUCAAUUACUUAUACCCAUAAACUUCACCCUUUCCUCUCACAGGAAACCCAUUUCUACUGUUUUUUUUUUCUUUUUCAUAACCUAGCUUCACUUUCUUCAUAAUAAAAACCAUCCAUCUUAUUGUUGCUUAUCACCAAAAGAUGAUGUUUCAUUGCUCCAACAAUGUCUCACACUUCGUGACAACUUUUUGGUGGUCCUUUGCAAAUCUACCUUCCUCAACGUGUUGGCUCCCAAAGUAUAACUUGGUCCCUUGCCGAUCACUGAUGUAGCUUCUUGUUAUUUGUAAUUAUUGUUGUAAUUUUUGUUAUGGUUAUCUUUGGAUCCCCAAGACUUUAAAGUUAUUGUUAGCUUCUUAAGCUUGAUAGUUUCCUAGGCAAUUUUAGUACAGUAUUGCCAUUGAAAUGCGUGUAUCUCUUUAGCAUUUAGUUCCUUUUGAACUCAGUUCCCCAUCCCCAUAUAAAAAUCUUUUGGGCAUUAUGCAUUGUUGUUUGGUUCUUAAAGUUCCCUUGUACUCACUUGGUUCCCUGAAUUUGUUGGUUCCCCAAGUAAUCUUUGAAUCAAAAUUUUUGUCACUGCAACUUCUUGUCUCCCAACAUCGGUUCUUUGUGAACUUAGUUCCCCUAUGCCUAUAAGAUCCCCAAGUAAAAUAAGUCUCCUAACAUUAUACUUUGCUAAACAUUUUUCCUUGUUAAUCUAACUAUACUCCAUACAAAUAUGGCAUCAAGUUUCUCUACUUCUUCUAUGACAAGAUUUGAUGCUUGCUAAAAGGCCCAAGGUUCCCCUUGCUAAAAGGCCCAAGGUUCCCCUUGCUAAAAGGCCCAAGGUUCCC